AGAGUUUGAUCCUGGCUCAGGACGAACGCUGGCGGCGUGCCUAAUACAUGCAAGUAGAACGCUGAAGAGAGGAGCUUGCUCUUCUUGGAUGAGUUGCGAACGGGUGAGUAACGCGUAGGUAACCUGCCUUGUAGCGGGGGAUAACUAUUGGAAACGAUAGCUAAUACCGCAUAACAAUGGAUGACCCAUGUCAUUUAUUUGAAAGGGGCAAAUGCUCCACUACAAGAUGGACCUGCGUUGUAUUAGCUAGUAGGUGAGGUAACGGCUCACCUAGGCGACGAUACAUAGCCGACCUGAGAGGGUGAUCGGCCACACUGGGACUGAGACACGGCCCAGACUCCUACGGGAGGCAGCAGUAGGGAAUCUUCGGCAAUGGGGGCAACCCUGACCGAGCAACGCCGCGUGAGUGAAGAAGGUUUUCGGAUCGUAAAGCUCUGUUGUAAGUCAAGAACGAGUGUGAGAGUGGAAAGUUCACACUGUGACGGUAGCUUACCAGAAAGGGACGGCUAACUACGUGCCAGCAGCCGCGGUAAUACGUAGGUCCCGAGCGUUGUCCGGAUUUAUUGGGCGUAAAGCGAGCGCAGGCGGUUUGAUAAGUCUGAAGUUAAAGGCUGUGGCUCAACCAUAGUUCGCUUUGGAAACUGUCAAACUUGAGUGCAGAAGGGGAGAGUGGAAUUCCAUGUGUAGCGGUGAAAUGCGUAGAUAUAUGGAGGAACACCGGUGGCGAAAGCGGCUCUCUGGUCUGUAACUGACGCUGAGGCUCGAAAGCGUGGGGAGCGAACAGGAUUAGAUACCCUGGUAGUCCACGCCGUAAACGAUGAGUGCUAGGUGUUGGAUCCUUUCCGGGAUUCAGUGCCGCAGCUAACGCAUUAAGCACUCCGCCUGGGGAGUACGACCGCAAGGUUGAAACUCAAAGGAAUUGACGGGGGCCCGCACAAGCGGUGGAGCAUGUGGUUUAAUUCGAAGCAACGCGAAGAACCUUACCAGGUCUUGACAUCCCGAUGCUAUUUCUAGAGAUAGAAAGUUACUUCGGUACAUCGGUGACAGGUGGUGCAUGGUUGUCGUCAGCUCGUGUCGUGAGAUGUUGGGUUAAGUCCCGCAACGAGCGCAACCCCUAUUGUUAGUUGCCAUCAUUCAGUUGGGCACUCUAGCGAGACUGCCGGUAAUAAACCGGAGGAAGGUGGGGAUGACGUCAAAUCAUCAUGCCCCUUAUGACCUGGGCUACACACGUGCUACAAUGGUUGGUACAACGAGUUGCGAGUCGGUGACGGCAAGCUAAUCUCUUAAAGCCAAUCUCAGUUCGGAUUGUAGGCUGCAACUCGCCUACAUGAAGUCGGAAUCGCUAGUAAUCGCGGAUCAGCACGCCGCGGUGAAUACGUUCCCGGGCCUUGUACACACCGCCCGUCACACCACGAGAGUUUGUAACACCCGAAGUCGGUGAGGUAACCUUUUGGAGCCAGCCGCCUAAGGUGGGAUAGAUGAUUGGGGUGAAGUCGUAACAAGGUA
rnacentral:rRNA from 1 species